rnacentral:lncRNA from 1 species
CGGUCAUAACACACCUACAGAGCAUUAAUUUGUGCAAAGAAUUAGCAUGAGAUUGAAUGAAGCAGCAGCAAGCCACGAGUGCAAAUAAGUACCAACAGCAGCUCAAGUUAUUCCUCUUAUUUUGUAUAGGAUGCACCACCAGCGCAAGUUCCUCCUCUUUGUUUUGUACAGAAUGCAGGUGUUCAUUCAGUUCAGAACAUCACACUCGCACGCCACAGCAGGCAGCUCAAGUUCAGAAUUUGUUUGCACAGAAGCAACAUUAGAUUGAACGAAGCAGGAGUAGGCCACGAGCGAAAACAAAUACCAGCAGAGCUCAAGUUCCUCCUCUUUUUUUGUUUUUUACAUGAUGAACCAUCAGCUUCUGUCCUCUUAAACUACUCCUGCACACACAAGAGCCAUCAGCUUUGAACUACGCCUAUAUAGACACUCGAACGAUCAGCUUUGGCAUAGUUGAACUACUCAGCAAUAAGCCAUGUAAAAAUCAUAAGAAAAAACACUAUUUUUCAGGCAUAAACACAAACAUCUUAUGUGCUUAUCACUGAUCUCGGCUGGUAGAAUGAGAGGGAGGUAAACAAAGGGCAUGGGAGAUGAAUUAGCAGAGGAGAGAGAGAGAAAGAGACCUGGUCUCUUCGAAUCAGCUGACAUCGGGCCGCGCAGGUGAACUGCUGGCUCCUGUUUGAAUGGCUUGUCCACCGGUGACGAUCUUGGGAGGAUGCUGCUGCCGCCCAUCCGAGCUCUGAACUGCUGAGGCACAACCAUGCCCAAGUCCGAACUACUGCUCGCGACAAACACGAUCACCCCGACGCCAUGGGGUUGGACUGAGGAUGGCGCACAUGCAACGAUGGAGGAGACCGUGGGGUGAGGCCGCCGUGGCGCCACCAUUUUUUGGUCGGCGGCGGCGGUGCGCUGGAAUGAGGCGGCGGCGCAUGUGGGGACGCAGGACCGGCGCGCUGGAAGGAGGCGUGUGGGGACGCAGGACCGGCGCGCUGGAAGGAGGCGUGUGGGGACGCAGGACCGGCGCGCUGGAAGGAGGCGGCGCUGUGGGGAGGUUGCGACAGCUUUUCCUGAUGUACAAUGCUUUCUAUUUCGAAGUUCACACUAGCCAGGUCUGUAGAAUUUGUUCCAUGAGUUUUUACGCAAGGGGAAACACAAAAACUUUUAGAGCUCACUUUCUUGUGGAGGAAGUGGAAGAAGGAUUAACUAAUAUUUGUUUUUGGCACAAUAAAUAUAUUUGAACCUAGACGAUUUAACCGGUUGAACUGAAACAGUCAAACUGAUUAGCAUAUCUAGGUAUAAUGAGACGUUUUAACUAGUUGAAUUGAGACAGAUUAGCACCAAAUAGCUAGCACUGAACUGAGCUAAAAUAAGAAACUGAUCUGAACUAAAAUAAGAAUUGAAC